rnacentral:rRNA from 1 species
CCUACGGGAGGCAGCAGUGAGGAAUAUUGGUCAAUGGGCGAGAGCCUGAACCAGCCAAGUAGCGUGAAGGAUGACUGCCCUAUGGGUUGUAAACUUCUUUUAUAUGGGAAUAAAGUGUACCACGUAUACGUUUUUGUAUGUACUAUAUGAAUAAGGAUAGGCUAACUCCGUGCCAGCAGCCGCGGUAAUACGGAGGAUCCGAGCGUUAUCCGGAUUUAUUGGGUUUAAAGUGAGCGUAGGUGGAUUGUUAAGUCAGUUGUGAAAGUUUGCGGCUCAACCGUAAAAUUGCAGUUGAUACUGGCAGUCUUGAGGACAGUAGAGGUGGGCGGAAUUCGAGGUGUAGCGGUGAAAUGCUUAGAUAUCACGAAGAACUCCGAGUGCGAAGGCAGUUCACUGGACUGCAACUGACACUGAGGCUCGAAAGUGUGGGUAUCAAACAGGAUUAGAUACCCCAGUAGUC